UCUUUUCUAGAAAUUGCCCACAGCUUGCAAAAAGGCUGUGUUCCCUGGCCCUGGCUGCAGCUGUGUAGGAUUCUGAAUAUCAUUUUCCCCAGAAGUUGAGGGUGAGGCCAGCAGCCAGGCAGGAAGGCAGCAGGAGGAGGAGGAAGCGGAGGUGGCACCUUCUGAGAGGCGCAUGCUCACUGAGUUGUGAAGAUGGCAGGGUUGGCGGAGCGGCCACCGCAUCUGAUCUCUCCCCUUUUUUUAGGAUAUGUGAUGGCGUCCAGUUUGGAGCUGGGAUAAGGUU
rnacentral:sRNA from 1 species